rnacentral:rRNA from 1 species
GGAGUGCUUGCACUCUGUGAAACAAGAUACAGGCUAGCGGCGGACGGGUGAGUAACACGUGGGUAACCUGCCCAAGAGAUCGGGAUAACACCUGGAAACAGAUGCUAAUACCGGAUAACAACAGAUGAUGCCUAUCAACUGUUUAAAAGAUGGUUCUGCUAUCACUCUUGGAUGGACCUGCGGUGCAUUAGCUAGUUGGUAGGGUAACGGCCUACCAAGGCGAUGAUGCAUAGCCGAGUUGAGAGACUGAUCGGCCACAUUGGGACUGAGACACGGCCCAAACUCCUACGGGAGGCAGCAGUAGGGAAUCUUCCACAAUGGACGCAAGUCUGAUGGAGCAACGCCGCGUGAGUGAAGAAGGGUUUCGGCUCGUAAAGCUCUGUUGUUGGUGAAGAAGGACAGGGGUAGUAACUGACCUUUGUUUGACGGUAAUCAAUUAGAAAGUCACGGCUAACUACGUGCCAGCAGCCGCGGUAAUACGUAGGUGGCAAGCGUUGUCCGGAUUUAUUGGGCGUAAAGCGAGUGCAGGCGGUUCGAUAAGUCUGAUGUGAAAGCCUUCGGCUCAACCGGAGAAUUGCAUCAAAAACU